rnacentral:rRNA from 1 species
AACGAACGCUGGCGGCAGGCCUAACACAUGCAAGUCGAACGCGCGUAGCAAUACGCGAGUGGCGCACGGGUGAGUAAUACGUGGGAAUCAACCCUGAGGUUCGGAAUAACCGCGGGAAACUGCGGCUAAUAACGGAUGUCCCCUACGGGGGAAAGAUUUAUCGCCUUGGGACGAGCCCACGUCCGAUUAGCUAGUUGGUGAGGUAACGGCUCACCAAGGCUACGAUCGGUAGCUGGUCUGAGAGGACGACCAGCCACACUGGAACGGGGACACGGUCCAGACUCUUACGCGAGGCAGCAGAGGUUAAUAUUGGGCAGUGUGGGCAACUCUGACCCAGCCAUGCUACGUGGGUGACGAAGGUCUUCGGAUUGUAAAGCCCUUUCGGUGGGGACGAUGAUGACGGUACCCGCAGAAGAAGCCCCGGCUAACUUCGUGCCAGCAGCCGCCGUAAGAC